GCACAAUGAUGUGUGAAUUUCUUCACCUGAAAUACCAUGUGGAGCAAAAACAUACGAGCUUUUUAAUUCUGAGUGUU